ensembl:lncRNA
UGUGUGUGUGUGUGUGUGUGUGUGUGUGUGUGUGUGUGUGUGUGUGUGUGUGUGUGGUACGGUUCUCCUGCCACCUGUUCUCAUGUUUUUUGGAACUGUCAGCCUUUGUCACGAUAUCAUAUUUUUUUGGCACAGCUCUGAAUGCUUGGCAUAGGAAAAACUCCAUAGUAGAGUACAGUAUAGUAAAGUAUGAAAGGAAGCACAAUUUGCUUGACAAUUUGUUUGACAAUUUCAUUUAUUUAGUCACUAACUAAUUCAUGAAAUGUUAGUUUUUAGUCAUUGACGGCCAUCAGGGUUCAAUGGGUCGUGAGGUCUGUUUAGAGAUCGACCCCAGAAGUACCCAGUAAUUUAUUCACUAUAAACAAAUCCAAACUUGUUGAAUGCUUGAAAUAUACUCUCAGAUUGUCUUGGUAUACUUUCAGCGCUUGGUGGCCUUUGUUUAUCACAAACACGGCAUUAACAUUGAAACACACUGUGUUCGCCGACUAUGUCCACUAGGUGACGCCAGUUCCCUCCAACAUCCGGGUGUUUCUGCUCAUGGUAGCUAGCGCGAGGGAAACGUGGCCCCCGCUGCGUCCUCAGGAGGCACCUGUUCACGCGCAGGCUCAACAGCAGCAGCUGUUGACUCCUGCGGUGACCAGAGGCAACUGGGAGAUUUUUUGGACACGCUGGGACACUAGGUUCUGCUUUGAGAGGGAAUGUGUGAUUUCCCCCCCUAAAAAUCUGUCAAUGUCGUUGGUGUUCACAAUGUUGUUGGAGAUACACACUGAGUGCCAGAGCGGUAUCUCUCUCUCUCUCUCUCUCUCUCUCUCUCUCU